rnacentral:lncRNA from 1 species
GGGUGUUCAGGCAGCAAGUGCAGACAGAAAGGCAUCCUCCUGGAAAACCUCAGAUGUGCUGGCAGAGUUGAGGGGAGAGAGCCUGCAAAGUCCGGCGGGAGCCAGAUUGUCGAGGACCUUGGAUAUUAAGAUUCUACUGGAACUUCCCAGCCGGCAAACUUAUGU